UUGUCAAAAGGUCUGUUUACGUGC
rnacentral:siRNA from 1 species